rnacentral:lncRNA from 1 species
UCGAAAGCUCCUCAGUACUAGCUCAUUUCCACUAGUUUAGGUUUGACUUCAACAAAUAUUGCAUCAUCCCCCCUUCUUUGAGAGCAUUUGUCCUUGAAUCUAUAAAGAUUAUAAACUUUUCAUUUAAGGUCAAUAAGGAUAGAGGAUUUACCAUACUACCGGUGGGGUGUUCGGGUUAUUCUUGAAUGAAGAAGCAAUUUUUGACUGGAUCUGAAUUGUGGUCCUUCUUUGCUUGCCUCUUAGUGAAC